rnacentral:tRNA from 1 species
UCCGGCGUGGUCUAGUGGCUAGGAUAUCUGGCUUUCACAAAGAAGGCCCGGGUUCGAUUCCCGGCGUCGGAA